rnacentral:rRNA from 1 species
AUUGAACGCUGGCGGCAUGCUUUACACAUGCAAGUCGAACGGUAACAGGCCUUCGGGUGCUGACGAGUGGCGAACGGGGGAGUAAUGCAUCGGAACGUACCCAGAGGUGGGGGAUAACGCAGCGAAAGCUGUGCUAAUACCGCAUGUGAUCUGAGGAUGAAAGCGGGGGACCGAGCAGCAAUGUUUGGCCUCGCGCCUUUGUAGCGGCCGAUGUCGGAUUAGCUAGUUGGUGGGGUAAAGGCCUACCAAGGCGACGAUCCGUAGCUGGUCUGAGAGGACGACCAGCCACACUGGGACUGAGACACGGCCCAGACUCCUACGGGAGGCAGCAGUGGGGAAUUUUGGACAAUGGGCGCAAGCCUGAUCCAGCAAUGCCGCGUGCGGGAAGAAGGCCUUCGGGUUGUAAACCGCUUUUGGCAGGAACGAAGCGGUGUCCGCUAAUACCGGGCGCUAAUGACGGUACCUGCAGAAUAAGCACCGGCUAACUACGUG